AUUGAACGCUGGCGGCAGGCCUAACACAUGCAAGUCGAACGAGUGGCGGACGGGUGAGUAAUGUCUGGGAAACUGCCUGAUGGAGGGGUGUAACUACUGGAAACGGUAGCUAAUACCGCAUACCAUCAGAUGUGCCCAGAUGGGAUUUGCUUGUUGUUGGGGUAACGGCUCCCCAAGGCGACGAUCCCUAGCUGGGCUGAGAGGAUGACCACCCACAAUGGAUAUAAGACACGGGCCAGCCUCUUACGGGCGAGCGCAGUGGGCAAUAUUACGCAAUGGGGGCAAGCCUGAUGGAGCCAUGCCGCGUGUAUGAAGAAGGCCUUCGGGUUGUAAAGUGCUUUCAGCGGGGAGGCGUUACCGGGAGAAGAAGCGCCAGCUAACUGCGUGCCAGCCGCCGCGGUAAUAC
rnacentral:rRNA from 1 species